GACGUAGGGCGCGAGCGUUGUCCGGAUUUAUUGGGCGUAAAGAGCUCGUAGGCGGCUUGUUGCGUCAGCUGUGAAAACCCGGAGCUCAACUCCGGGCCUGCAGUCGAUACGGGCGGACUUGAGUGUUGCAGGGGAGACUGGAAUUCCUGGUGUAGCGGUGAAAUGCGCAGAUAUCAGGAGGAACACCGGUGGCGAAGGCGGGUCUCUGGGCAACUACUGACGCUGAGGAGCGAAAGCGUGGGGAGCGAACAGG
rnacentral:rRNA from 1 species